rnacentral:rRNA from 1 species
GCUGGUGAUAAAGGCGAAGAGGUCACACCCGUUCCCAUACCGAACACGGAAGUUAAGCUCUUCAGCGCCGAUGGUAGUUGGGGGCUGUCCCCCUGCGAGAGUAGGACGUUGCCAGUA